rnacentral:misc_RNA from 1 species
UAAAAUUAAGUUUAUGGUUAAGAGCUUGUUGAAAGAGCGAAACACUAAUUAAUUUUUUAGCAAUUCCUGGUUGUGUUAAACCGCUUAAUGUUGUUGUUAACCAAAGUAAGGGAAGAGCGAGUUUUAUAGAAUUUUAGCUUGCUCAUAAGCUUGGAUCUGUAAUUUUGAUGCUCUAGGGCCUUCUACGUUGUAUAUAAUACAAAACAAAUGAAAAAAAUAAAAAGGAGGCGAGUUUUAUACGGUGAGUUUACGCAGCCGCGAAACGGUCCGUCUUGCCUCGCUCGAAAGAAACACAAUUUGUCCACGCUGGCAAUCCGUUAGGAGCAAAAGCAAACCAGUCAAAGGCCUACCACACGGAUUGAAGGCCUUUUCAAAAUCCUUAUCCUCGCACGAUAUAGUCUUCUAAUUUAACCGAACCUAGAAAAGCGCCCCACUUCUGUUCUCUCUCUAUAUUAAAGUGCUCCUACCGUCUUUUUUGUCAUUGUUCUCUCUCGUUAUUUAGAAUCGUCUUUUACAAGGACAAGUCAUGGCUCGUACGAAGCAAACUGCUCGCAAAUCAACCGGUGGAAAGGCCCCCAGGAAGCAGCUCGCCACAAAGGCAUGUUUCGUUAUGCUUUCUAUUGUUUCUGUAUGUUAUAUUUGAGGGAGAAUAGGAUUUAUUUUAAAAAUUUUCUAGGGUUAAUAUAGUUUUCUCGUUCUCGCUUAAAUUUGUUUAUCGCUUGCCAAUUUUAAUGCGAUCAUUUUAUAUCUCUCGUCGUUUUCCUUCUAAAUCUAGGGUUUCAGGAUUUUAUUGUAAUGUUCAGUUUUCGGUUUUAAUGUGUAAGCUGAAUUUAUAUUCCUUUAAUUCGUGGUAUUUAAUUGCGCAUAGGCUGCUAGGAAAUCUGCUCCGACGACUGGCGGAGUCAAGAAGCCUCAUCGUUACCGCCCUGGAACUGUGGCUCUCCGGUAUGUAAUUGCCCUAAUUUCUGUUCUUAUACUUAUCCUCAACUGUCUGAUUUUUUUUCUUUGGGCAUAACUCACCUUUCUGAUUUAGUUCUAAUGCCAACUUUUAUUUGUCUAUUGAUCGAACAGUGAAAUCAGAAAGUAUCAAAAGAGCACUGAACUUUUGAUCCGCAAGUUGCCAUUCCAGCGCCUUGUUCGUGAAAUAGCUCAAGAUUUCAAGACGGAUUUGAGGUUCCAGAGUCACGCAGUGCUAGCCCUUCAGGAGGCCGCCGAGGCUUAUUUGGUUGGUCUGUUUGAGGACACCAAUCUUUGCGCUAUCCACGCUAAGAGAGUCACAAUUAUGCCCAAGGAUAUCCAGCUAGCUAGGCGGAUCCGUGGUGAACGUGCUUAAUUAGGUCUCUCAUUUGGCCCAUUAGCUGUGAAGAACUUGUAAAUUUGAAAAACUGGGGCAAAAACCCAAUUCCUCUAAUCACAUUCAAGUUGGUAGUGUUUUUAUGUAAUAAUGAUUACGGUACUGUUUGUUUUUGUUGCUUUAAAACUUUGUCAAGGGCUGGUGUGUUAGAAUAGAGAGAAUUGAAUAUUUAUUGUAGGAUUUCAGAAGGAUAAAGCUGGUUUUUACAACGUGCUUGACAACAUUGCAUCUGACUCGUGUGUAAUAUGCUUUUGUGGUAAUGAAUUCUCUUUUA